AUGGGCCGAAAGAACCGCAACCCCGCGCCAAACCCUACCCCUCCUCCCCGGGCCGCCGGCGGCAUUGCCGCCGUGCGCGCCGACUGUGACAAGGUCCUCGCGUACCUCCAGCGCGGAAACCCGUCCAAGGCGCUGCGACUGCUGAGGGACGCCGUCGCGCGCCACGGCGAGGGGUCGCCGCUCCUCCACCGCGCGCAGGGCACCGUGCACUCCCGCGCCGCCGCAUCCCUCAACGACCCCGCCGCCCGCGCGCGCCACCGUCGGGACGCGCUCCAGGCCGCCCGCCGCGCCGUCGAGCUCGCGCCCGACUCGCUCGAGCUCGCCCACUUCCGCGCCCUGCUCCUCUACGAGGCUGCCAACGACAACUGCACCUACGAGGAGGUCAUCGCCGAGUGCGAGCGCGGGCUCAGAAUCCAGGAGCCCUCCGACCCGGCACCCCACUCGCUCAGGCUGCCUGCCCCUGAACCCGACAAGGUCCGAACCGAGCUCCGCAAUCUCGUCCAGAAAGCCAAUCUGGCCUCCGUAUCCCUGUGGGUCAAGAAACUCGGCGGCGAUGAAUAUGGUGACAAGCUUGGGUUUUUACGCCUGGCUAAUGUGCCCUUGGAGCUCCGGCCCCUACCUGCAGCGCCAGUCCCUCGCCAGGCCAAAGGGAUCAAGAAGGCUACAAACACCGCUGAGGAGCGCCGCAAGAAGAUCGAGGUGCAGGUCGCUGCGAUGAGGCUGGUGGAGCAACAGCAGCUGCCGCGCCAUGCUGCCGUCGCUGCCUCCUCCUCACAACCACAGUCAGAGGAAGAUGAGACCCCCUGCUCGUCAUGUCAGUCUGGUGUGAAACUGCGGCCCUCUUGA
rnacentral:rRNA from 1 species